rnacentral:rRNA from 1 species
GUGGGUAGUUUGACUGGGGCGGUCUCCUCCUAAAGAGUAACGGAGGAGCACGAAGGUUGGCUAAUCCUGGUCGGACAUCAGGAGGUUAGUGCAAUGGCAUAAGCCAGCUUGACUGCGAGCGUGACGGCGCGAGCAGGUGCGAAAGCAGGUCAUAGUGAUCCGGUGGUUCUGAAUGGAAGGGCCAUCGCUCAACGGAUAAAAGGUACUCCGGGGAUAACAGGCUGAUACCGCCCAAGAGUUCAUAUCGACGGCGGUGUUUGGCACCUCGAUGUCGGCUCAUCACAUCCUGGGGCUGAAGUAGGUCCCAAGGGUAUGGCUGUUCGCCAUUUAAAGUGGUACGCGAGCUGGGUUUAGAACGUCGUGAGACAGUUCGGUCCCUAUCUGCCGUGGGCGCUGGAGAACUGAGGGGGGCUGCUCCUAGUACGAGAGGACCGGAGUGGACGCAUCACUGGUGUUCGGGUUGUCAUGCCAAUGGCACUGCCCGGUAGCUAAAUGCGGAAGAGAUAAGUGCUGAAAGCAUCUAAGCACGAAACUUGCCCCGAGAUGAGUUCUCCCUGAGACUUAGAGUCUCCUGAAGGAACGUUGAAGACGACGACGUUGAUAGGCCGGGUGUGUAAGCGCAGCGAUGCGUUGAGCUAACCGGUACUAAUGAACCGUGAGGCUUAACCUUACAACGCCGAAGC